rnacentral:rRNA from 1 species
AUGGAUGAUGAUCAAGCACGUGAACUGAGAGCUCUAGAACGCAUACUGAGCGAUCCAAGUGUGGAGCCAACCAUGCUAUCUUAUGGGAUACUGAAAUACAUUACAAAUUCUUUUUCUAACGAGAUUGGUUGUGGUGGGUUUGGAGUUGUGUACCAGGGAGAGUUGGAAAACUGGGUAGUUGCUGUGAAGAUCUCCAAGACACAUAAUUCUACUGGUAGGCAAUUCCUAGAUGAGAUAAGGUGUUUAAAAAGUGCAAAUCACAAGAAUAUAGUAAGAUUUCUGGGCUAUUGUUCUGAUAUACAAGAGGAAGUUAAGACAUCCGAUGGAGUACUUGUGCUGGCAGGGCAUUAUAAGAGGUUGCUCUGUUUCGAGUAUGUUCCUAAAGGAAAUAUUCGACAGUAUCUUCAACAAGAGAAACCUCAUCAAGAGGACUGGCGAGCACGCUACAAAAUGAUUAGAGGAAUUUGUCAAGGGUUGCACUAUCUUCAUGACAAGCAAAUUAUCCAUCGUGACUUAAAACCUGAAAAUGUUAUGUUGGAUGCUCAGAUGGAACCAAAAAUUACUGAUUUUGGUUUGUCGAGAUUCUUAGACCAAGGAAUAUCCACAUUGGUUACUCAACACAUAGCUGGAACAUUGGGAUAUAUUGCACCGGAAAUAAUUGAUGAAGGAGAAGUAUCACUAAAGUCAGACAUAUAUGCUUUGGGUGUCAUUAUGGUAGAGCUACUAUCCGGCAUCAGCAUGAUAAAUCUGAUGAAUUGGGAUAAAUAUAUAGACACGAGCCUCCCACGAAUGAGGGGGUGCACCGAACUAGCUCGAAACUGCAUGGACCAUGACAAACAUAAGAGACCUACAAUAGGUGAAGUUAUUCGUGGCCUGGACAAUCUGGAGAGCAUGUUUCCAUGGUCUUCCAUAAGCCAGAGUCGUCCUAUGGGGCCGGAGAGCACCGUCGUCAAGCUACCAUCGAGGUCAUUAACUAUUGCAUGGGUUGAGAAUCCCGAGUACUGGAGAUGGAUCUCACGCCGGGACUCGAGCUCUGGCGAAUGCGCGAAACUCCUGAGGGUGUGCUAUCUGAAGGUCUCUCGGCUGAUUGCACCCGAGGACCUACCUGCUGCCGCCACAAGCUACACGGCUUACCUCGUGUACAAGCGGGCUGGCAGCACCCUGGAAGGCACCGUGCAAACAGCGAGCACGCUCCAUUUUGAUAAUAUCAUUGCCAGCAGCCAGGUUAGCCUACACCCCAAAGAUCAUGGCGCCAGUAGUGCCCAAGGUGUCACCCAUCCUGUCACCAGGGGCGAUGGGUGGCUGGAGCUUAGACUGGGGGAGUUCUCUAACGAGAAAGCGGUAACUGUACAGCUCCUCCAUGAGGACGCCAACAAAGAGAUGAGCGGCCUCAUCAUUGAUGGCAUGGAGGUCAGGAGGAGCCUGUAA